rnacentral:rRNA from 1 species
UACGUAGGGUGCAAGCGUUAAUCGGAAUUACUGGGCGUAAAGCGUACGCAGGCGGCUAUGUAAGACAGGUGUGAAAUCCCCCGGGCUUAACCUGGGAACUGCAUUUGUGACUGCAUAGCUAGAGUCUGUCAGAGGGGGGGUGGAAUUCCACGUGUAGCAGUGAAAUGCGUAGAGAUGUGGAGGAACACCGAUGGCGAAGGCAGCCCCCCUGGGAUAAGACUGACGCUCAUGUACGAAAGCGUGGGGAGCAAACAGG